rnacentral:rRNA from 1 species
CAGUCGCCGCGGUAAAACGAAGGGUGCAAGCGUUAAUCGGAAUUACUGGGCGUAAAGCGCGCGUAGGUGGUUUGGUAAGAUGGAUGUGAAAUCCCCGGGCUCAACCUGGGAACUGCAUCCAUAACUGCCUGACUAGAGUACGGUAGAGGGUGGUGGAAUUUCCUGUGUAGCGGUGAAAUGCGUAGAUAUAGGAAGGAACACCAGUGGCGAAGGCGACCACCUGGACUGAUACUGACACUGAGGUGCGAAAGCGUGGGGAGCAAACAGGAUUAGAUACCCCUGUAGUCCCUGUCUCUUAUAA